rnacentral:rRNA from 1 species
UACGUAGGGGCCUAGCGUUGUCCGGAUUUAUUGGGCGUAAAGAGCUCGUAGGCGGUUCGGUAAGUCAGGUGUGAAAUCUCCACGCUCAACGUGGAGGGGGCCACCUGAUACUGCCGUGACUCGAGUCCGGUAGGGGAGUGUGGAAUUCCCGGUGUAGCGGUGGAAAUGCGCAGAUAUCAGGAGGAACACCGGUGGCGAAGGCGGGUCUCUGGGCCGAUACUGACGCUGAGGAGCGAAAGCGUGGGGAGCAAACAGG